AUUGAACGCUGGCGGCAGGCCUAACACAUGCAAGUCGAACGGUAACAGGAAGCAGCUUGCUGCUUCGCUGACGAGUGGCGGACGGGUGAGUAAUGUCUGGGAAGCUGCCUGAUGGAGUGGGAUAACUACUGGAAACGGUAGCUAAUACCGCAUAAUGUCGCAAGACCAAAGAGGGGGACCUUCGGGCCUCUUGCCAUCGGAUGUGCCCAGAUGGGAUUAGCUUGUUGGUGGGGUAACGGCUCACCAAGGCGACGAUCCCUAGCUGGUCUGAGAGGAUGACCAGCCACACUGGAACUGAGACACGGUCCAGACUCCUACGGGAGGCAGCAGUGGGGAAUAUUGCACAAUGGGCGCAAGCCUGAUGCAGCCGUGCCGCGUGUAUGAAGAAGGCCUUCGGGUUGUAAAGUACUUUCAGCGGGGAGGAAGGGAGUAAAGUUAAUACCUUUGCUCAUUGACGUUACCCGCAGAAGAAGCACCGGCUAACUCCGUG
rnacentral:rRNA from 1 species